CAAAUAAAUAAAUAAAAUCUUAAAAAAAAAAAAAAAUACGGAAACAGUUCUGAAUGCAUGUUUUAACUUGUUCUGAAGUACAUUACUGGUGAAUUACUAUUUUAAAGUUCUGAUAUUAAAAUGUCCAUCAUUUGUAAUGGUUUUUUUUUUUUUCACUUCUGUCAUUUCAGGGAUGGGGAAAGACAUCAUAGUCAUAAAAGGAGAAAGCAAAAAAUAUAAAUGAGACUUACACCCCAGCCAAUGAAGUCAUCACCUUGAUCAAGAUAGAGAACAUUCCUAUCACCCCCAAAAAUUCUCAUAUGCCCUUUUUACCGGUUUCUCUAGGCAACCACAGAUCUGGUUUUUGUUGCUGUUGAUUAGAUGUAUCUUUUUUAGAAUUCAUAUAAAUGGAAUACUGUAAUAUGUACCUUCUUCCACUCCACGUAUUUUUGAGAUUGACCCAUGUUUUGUGUGUCAAUUGUCUCUCUUCCUUUUUGUUUGUAUUAUAUUCUGUUGUAUGAUAGGUCCCUCAGGUGAAACUUGGCCAGUAAAUGUUAAUCAUCUCCUGUCUAAUAGCAAUAUCUUGAAUCUUAGAAACUCAGGGUAAAGAUUAAAAGGUGGGUUCCAAGUAGAAAUGAAACUUUAAUUAUUUCAGUAAGUAACUGACCGUGACAGAAAGGUUGACUGGAUUUAGAUCAGAUUGACUAUUAGGCUUUAGGUAUAAAGAACAGCUCUCAGAUUUAUAAGUUGGAAAUCAACUGUUCACUUGCCAAUAUGAAGUCUUAUUACUGCUGUUUUACUUAAUUUCUAAAUACAUAAAAUCCAGAUUUAAAAAUCUUAAGGACUUUGGCGUUACCAUAAUGGUGAACCAUGUGUAAUUGCUGCUUUUGUAGGUCAAAACCAUUUGAACUAAUCACAUUGAAAAACAAAAUAAUAAAUUAAGUUACAACAUAUAGAAUUGUAACUUAAUUUAUUAUUUUGUUUUUCAAUGUGAUUUCAAUGAUUUUGCCAAGUGGAAGAAACUAAAGAGUGAGAUUGAAAGGCAUACUUCGAUUUUUAGUAGAGGAGAGAAAGAAGUGGGUUGGUGGGCCUAAGGAAAAAUAGGAUAGAUGGAAAAAGGAGAUCUUCUAACCAGAGUGCUUGCUUCAACAGUACAUGUACUAGAACUAGGAAGGGUACAGAGAAGAUUAGCAUGGCCCCUGCGCAAGGAUGAGAUGUAAAAUGUAACCAGAGUUCUUUAUAGAUUUUUAAGUGUUAAGACCAACUACUGCAAACUAUCCAAUAAAAUUUAGAUUUAGA